CUGCCGGCAAGCGGCGCUCGCGCCGCUCGCCAGCCCGUUGGCGGGCCGCUGACUGAAAGCCCUGCCCGCGCGCCGGUCAGCCGCAGAGGCUGAGGAGAGCGGUCGCGGGCAGGGAAAAAGCUGAAGCAAGUUAAAAGGGUCAAAGGUGGAAUGUUUUGAGGAAAAUGUUGAGCAGCAGCUGGUGGGGAAGAAAGAAGAGGGAGGCAUGGUGUGGAACUACACUGCGAGGCAAGAGUGAUGAAGAAGAG